rnacentral:rRNA from 1 species
AGCAGUCGCCGCGGUAAAACGUAGGUGGCAAGCGUUGUCCGGAAUUAUUGGGCGUAAAGCGCGCGCAGGCGGUUUCUUAAGUCUGAUGUGAAAGCCCCCGGCUUAACCGGGGAGGGUCAUUGGAAACUGGGAGACUUAGAGUGCAGAAGAGGAGAGUGGAAUUCCAUGUGUAGCGGAGAAAUGCGUAGAUAUAUGGAGGAACACCAGUGGCGAAGGCGACUCUCUGGUCUGUAACUGACGCUGAGGAGCGAAAGCGUGGGGAGCGAACAGGAUUAGAUACCCCAGUAGUCCCUGUCUCUUAUA